GAGAGAGGUAUUACACAAUAAGAACUGCUAAUUCCUAUAUCUGAGACUAACCCCUCAGCUCCCUCAAUCCCACCAACU
rnacentral:tRNA from 1 species